CCCGCACAGCCGCACUCGCGCCGUCCCCUUCCUCUUCCUCCCGCCUCGCCUCUCUCUCCUUCCAAACCCUAGGCCCGAGCCCGCCGCCGCUGCUCUGCCCGAGCCCGCCGCCGCUGCUUCCUCCUUACCCGCUGGCGCCCGGCCUCCUCCCCUCACGUCCUCCUCCUUCUACCCCCUCCCGCCCCGGCCCCGGCUCCCGCGGGAGGGAAGCAGGAAUGGCGAGGCGAGGCAAAGGCGGCGUAGGGGACACGGCGUGGCGCAGGUGGGUCGGCGCGGCCGCGGCUUCUCUUCUUAUCUCCCGGGAGUGGGCCGCAGCCAUGGAGAGCGGCCAGAGGAGCAAGGACGGCCAACCCCUGCCUCCUAUCCAGCACGUGUUGGGGAUUGCGGGCAACGAUUGAAUCUGCAGACUGGUUCGCUCAAGGAUGACGAGGAGAUGGCCGGCUUCAGGGAGCAGCAGAAGGAGGAGGGGCACGCAGUGCCGGCCGGGCUGAUGCGGAGGGGGCUGCAAGCUCGACGUGAGAGCAGCGGCAGGGACAAGCUCAGCAGGCUCUUCUACUGCGCCUGCUAGACCUCGAGGGACUUAUCUACUAUGAUACCAUAUACAUGCUUAUGGAAGGCACUCAACAGCAUAUUCUAGAAAAAAUAGAGGUUUAUUAUCCAGGUAUAUUUAUCUACUAUUGUACUUGAGACCUGACAUUCAAAAGGAAAAUUUCAAUAUUAAUAGCUGAUAAAGAAACGCUCCACAGUUAGUCGAUACACAUGUACCAAUCUGGAGUUAGUAUACAUGCUUGAGAUAUGGUCCUAUUGUUAGUUUGGUUUGCUAUUGAGUACAUUGGUUAUAAUUAGAAUUGCAAUAGUUUCGUUAUAGGAUCUAAGGGACAUUUAGAAGUUUGGCAAAAGACGUCAUCUACUCAUGAAUAAUCUCAUCAUCUGAAAAUGGAUUCAGAGUUAGGCCACUUACACAUCAUGGUAAACCUCCUGGUUCCCAUUUUGUCUGUAUUUUUAAAGGGGUGCUAAAAUCCUGGAUGGUCAUUGGAUAGUGGAUUAGCAUCAGUGCUUAACUAAGUCCCUGGAAAUUUGGAUAAGCAGUUUUCCUUUGAAGUGUAUAUGGUUCUAGACUUUCUUUUUGUGGUAAAGGCAGAAUCUUGGAUGAUCAUUGGACAGUGGAUUAGCGUUAGUGCUUAAAUAAGUCCCGAGAAAUCUGGAUGAACAAUUUUUCUUUAAAUGUAUAUGGUUCUACUGGUAAUCAUUAAUCUGUAACCUUGUGCUUGCUUGUGACCAGUAAGGUUGUGACGGGUUGUCAUCCCAUGGUUUUUCUGCAGCACCGUCACUGCCGUCCUUAACAUACAGAAGAAGUUCGUCCCAAGCUUCAAGACUCUAGGGUCAAUUCCAUAGAAGGUAAUUUCCUUUGAUAUUGGUAUUGUUGACAUUUGGUUUUUCCGGCUUCUGGUUGCCGUUAUACUUUGUUUAUUCAUGCUUUUGUUUGUAUUUAAAUUUGCCUAAAGAUAUGUUCAAGUUCAUACCUGCAGUUCAAUAGCUAUUGCCUGAAAUCUGCUUUCUACCUGUGCUUUUUAAGUAUAUAUGCCUAUAAAGUGUCCUCUAUUGCUUUCUUAAAUUCUGGAGUCUGCUAUGUAAUGAUGGCAUCGGCAGAUUUUGUUGCAGGCAGUACUGAAAAGUAAAUAUAUUGAACAGAUCAAAUUGCAAGAUUAGUUAGCUUUCCUCCUGAUUACAUUUUCUCUUACAUUUUCAAUGCUUUGUCUACCAUGCUUUCUCAUGUCCCUGGUGCCUUUUUUGUUUGAUAUGAAGUAAAUUUGCACACUGGAUGGGGCGACCAGGUUGUGGCAACUUGGCGGCAUGGCUAAUGAAUAAAGAAAAUAGCAAUAACUGAUUGAUUUUAGAUCUCAUGUGCCUGCAAAUCUUCUGUUCUUGCUGUUUAUGUGCUGGAUCUGUUGUUGCAUUCGUCGAUCUGUUGUUGGUUCUUAAUUUAGUCUGGUAAAGAGUAAGUUGCACUUUGUUGGUCCAUUUGGGUUAUGGAUUUUUUUUAUUAUGAUGGCGAGACACACCUAUGGUGAGAUUCUAUUUCGAUGAUGAUGUGCACUCUUCACACCUCGCUUUGAAUUGGCACGAGAAGAUCGUUCUAGAUUGGAAUCCAUAUAACUUUGAGAAGGUCAAUGUCUGUUGUCUUUCUCUCUCUGACUGCCUCUCCUCCCAUUGACUUGGCAUGCUGGUCACCGCCGUGUCUCCUGCUGGCUUGCCCCUCGCCCUCGUCGGGAGGGUUGUGUGGGCCGUCCUACAUUUUAAUCCACAUAACUUUGAAAAGGUCGCCACCAUGCCGACUCUCUCUCUCUCUCUCUCUCUCUCUCUCUCUCUCUCCUCUCUCUCUCUCUCUCUCUCUCUCUCUAACAGCCCCUCCCGUUGUCUUGGUUUGCUGGUUGCUGUUGUGUCUCCCGCCGGUUCGCCCGUUGCCAUCACUGGAAGGGUUGUGUAGUCCGCCGCUCAUGCCAGUACUCUGUAGUGACCAGUGAGGACCAUGGCAUCGAGAUAGCCCAAAAGGAAACACCGCCGGCUAUAGCACCGGUUGAGGCCACCCUGUCUGUCAGCCCACAACAGUUUCUUCAUCUGACGAAGAAUUUAUGGUGGAUGAUAUCACUCUGGGAGGAAUUAUCAGGCACACAACCAGCGAGCGGUGGCAGAAGCAACUUCUCCCUUGAACUACAUGCCAGACAGGCCAACUUUAUUCUAAGAGGCUCCAAAAUCUGAAGAAAGAUGUGGCUAUGCAGGAUGCCAAGCAUCGCAAGACUAAGGUGGCUAACACAAUGGAGCUGGAACAUCGACCUUUUGUUUCGUAUCGCCCAAGCCAGCAUGUUUGCCCUUUUGAUGUUCUUCUGAACAGGAAAUGUAUAACGUUUAGAUUCCCGUUGUCGUCUUUGUAAUGGAAGGUAGCACCUGGUGGCAUGUUGCUAUUUUCACUUUGCUUUGAACAAGACAUUGAUAGACUUUAGAUAUUGAUUCUAUCUCUCUAUCGUAGAAAGUAAUGUAUGGUAUUGUGUUUUAUCUCUAUUCAAAUGAAAGCACCGAGCUUGAUUCUGUCUUAUAA